AAAAAGAAAAACCCUGGAUUUCCGUGUCCAACGUUUGACCGUCCGUCUUAUUUUAAAAAAUUAUAAAAAAAAGACAAGUCACGCAUAAAGUAUUAAUCAUGUUUUAUCAUCUAACAACAAUAAAAAUAGUAAUUAUAAAAAAAUUUCAUAUAAGAUGGACAGUCAAACGUUGGACACAAAAACCCAGAGUUUGUCUUUUU
rnacentral:pre_miRNA from 1 species